rnacentral:lncRNA from 10 species
GCAGACAGCCCGGCGAACCGCGCAAUGCGCUUCUUCUGCCUGCAGCAGAGAAAAGGAAAGAAAACUCCGCAGGGGCUCCGUUGGCUUCUCCACGAGUGACAACCAUGUUUUCCCAGAUAGAAGACCGGAGCCCUGCUCCUUUGCGAUCCGCCGAGGGCUGCAGAGAGCAUCCUCAUCCAUUUGGGCACCCCUGCCCAGGAAGAGCCCGGCCAUCCCUUUCCGGACUGGAUCCUUAAGAGGUGAAUUUUCUUCCGUGGAUUCCGAUUUGCUCCGUCUGACCAGCCUAGGCAAUCCAGCAUCGCGUGGUACCAGUGCCGCUGGGCACACUGGCUUCACGCCGGCUCCGCCUCACCAGCAAGCGCAUUCCCAGAUGGAGUCUCACUCUCUCGCCCAGACUGGAGUGCAGUGAAGCAAUCUCAGCUCACUGCAACCUCCACCCUCCCGGGUUCAAGUAAUUCUCCUGCUUCAGCCUCCUGAGUAGCUAGGAUUACAGGCAUGCACCAUCAUACCUGGCUGUAGCCCUUAUUUUAAAUUCAAUGUACUGUAAUGAUUUACUUGGUUUAUUGUCUUAACUUUCUGUUCCACUGGAAUACAGGUUCAAUAAGGAGGGAUUUUAAUCAAUUUUGUUCUCUGAAGUGUCUUCAGAACCAAAUGAGUAAAAAAUUAUCAUUGUUGACGUUUUCACUUCGUGCUAGCAUAUGGGCAAUCUCAAUUUAUUUCUAAUAACUCCCUGUAUCUUUC